rnacentral:snRNA from 1 species
GUGGCUUACAGGAGGUAUAAAAAAUAAUCCGGGGGGAAGAUUGGCGUGGUCCCUGCACAAGGAUGACACACAAAUUUAUAAAGUGCUUCAUAUUAAA